AGAUGAAGCUAACACCACAAUUUGGUCUGCCAAUUCAACUAAAUCAGCAACCGCUCCAGUUGCACAGCUUUUGGACACAGAUCUGAAUCGGUUCCUAACAUCGUGGAAGAGUGAUCAGGAUCCUUCUCCAGGGGUUUAUACGAAUAAGCUUGAUACAACUGGGAUACCACAAUUUUUGCUUAAGAAAGGUUCUGUAGUGCAGUUUAGAUCCGGACUUUGGAAUGGUCUCAGGUUUACCGGUUAACAUUAAGCCUCAGUGGAAACCUUCAGCGUUUUACAUGGAUUGAUAGAAUUCAGGAUUGGAGCCUUUACCUGAAAGCACAAAUAGAUGAUUG